rnacentral:lncRNA from 1 species
GGUCCAGUAAGACCCCUUUUUGGCCCCAAAAUAUAGCAGUUUUACAAAAUUGUAUAAAUGUUAACUUUUAGUUAUUCAUUGGACAGUGGAAUGCUUCUGCAACAUAGAUAUGGGCUGUUUUUGACAAUACAACGCAUAUAUAUCGGGUACUAGCACCAUAAAGUCAUGCUAAAUUACUGAAAUCUUCUCAAUUCUAGCAUUUUAGUUAAAUUUUAGACGGGUUUCGUGUAAAACGAAAGUGGCCGC